GUUGUAUAGUCAAGUAAUUAAGUGCAUGUGGUGGAUGCCUUGGCAGUCAGAGGCGAUGAAAGACGUGAUAGCCUGCGAAAAGCUCCGGGGAGGCGGCAAAUAUCCUUUGAUCCGGAGAUGUCUGAAUGGGGGAACCCACCUACUUUAAGGUAGGUAUUGCAACAUGAAUACAUAGUGUUGCAAGGCGAACGAGGGGAAGUGAAACAUCUCAGUACCCUUAGGAAAAGAAAUCAAUUGAGAUUCCCUCAGUAGCGGCGAGCGAACGGGGAUCAGCCCAUUAAGUUAUGUGUGUUUUAGUGGAACGCUCUGGGAAGUGCGAACGUAGAGGGUGAUAUUCCCGUACACGAAAGGGCACACAUAAUGAUGACGAGUAGGGCGAGGCACGUGAAACCUUGUCUGAAUAUGGGGGGACCAUCCUCCAAGGCUAAAUACUCCUGACUGACCGAUAGUGAACCAGUACCGUGAGGGAAAGGCGAAAAGAACCCCUGUGAGGGGAGUGAAAUAGAUCCUGAAACCGCAUGCAUACAAGCAGUGGGAGCACCUUCGUGGUGUGACUGCGUACCUUUUGUAUAAUGGGUCAGCGACUUAUAUUCAGUAGCGAGGUUAACCGUAUAGGGGAGCCGUAGAGAAAUCGAGUCUUAAUAGGGCGUUUAGUUGCUGGGUAUAGACCCGAAACCAGGCGAUCUAUCCAUGAGCAGGUUGAAGGUUGGGUAACACUAACUGGAGGACCGAACCCACUGUCGUUGAAAAGCCAGGGGAUGACUUGUGGAUAGGGGUGAAAGGCUAAUCAAGCCUGGUGAUAGCUGGUUCUCCCCGAAAGCUAUUUAGGUAGCGCCUCGGACGAAUACCAUAGGGGGUAGAGCACUGUUUCGGCUAGGGGGUCAUCCCGACUUACCAAACCGAUGCAAACUCCGAAUACCUAUGAGUACUAUCCGGGAGACAGACUGCGGGUGCUAACGUCCGUAGUCAAGAGGAAAACAAUCCAGACCGCCAGCUAAGGCCCCAAAAUCAUAGUUAAGUGGGAAACGAUGUGGGAAGGCAUAGACAGCUAGGAGGUUGGCUUANNNNNNNNNNNNNNNNNNNNNNNNNNNNNNNNNNNNNNNNNNNNNGAAGCAGCCACCCUUUAAAGAAAGCGUAAUAGCUCACUAGUCGAGUCGGCCUGCGCGGAAGAUGUAACGGGGCUAAAACUAUGUGCCGAAGCUGCGGAUUUGACAUUAGUCAAGUGGUAGGGGAGCGUUCUGUAAGCCGAUGAAGGUGUAUUGAGAAGUNNNNNNAUGCUGGAGGUAUCAGAAGUGCGAAUGCUGACGUGAGUAACGACAAAACGGGUGAAAAACCCGUUCGCCGAAAGACCAAGGGUUCCAGUCCAACGUUAAUCGGGGCUGGGUGAGUCGACCCCUAAGGCGAGGCCGAAAGGCGUAGUCGAUGGGAAAAUGGUUAAUAUUCCAUUACUUCUGUGUAAUGCGAUGAGAGGACGGAGAAGGCUAAAUCAGCCUGGCGUUGGUUGUCCAGGUGAAAGGAUGUAGGCAUGUAUCUUAGGCAAAUCCGGGGUACUCUAUGCUGAGAUCUGAUAGCAAGCUGUACUUGUACAGCGAAGUGGUUGAUGCCAUGCUUCCAGGAAAAGUCUCUAAGCUUCAGUUACACAGGAAUCGUACCCGAAACCGACACAGGUGGUCAGGUCGAGUAGACCAAGGCGCUUGAGAGAACUCUGCUGAAGGAACUAGGCAAAAUGGUACCGUAACUUCGGGAGAAGGUACGCUGUUGUUGGUGAUGGAACUCGCUUCCUGAGCUGACGACAGCCGCAGAAACCAGGCCGCUGCAACUGUUUAUUAAAAACAUAGCACUCUGCAAACACGAAAGUGGACGUAUAGGGUGUGAUGCCUGCCCGGUGCUGGAAGGUUAAUUGAUGGGGUUAGCGUAAGCGAAGCUCUUGAUCGAAGCCCCAGUAAACGGCGGCCGUAACUAUAACGGUCCUAAGGUAGCGAAAUUCCUUGUCGGGUAAGUUCCGACCUGCACGAAUGGCAUAAUGAUGGCGGCGCUGUCUCCAGCAGAGGCUCAGUGAAAUCGAAAUCGCUGUGAAGAUGCAGUGUACCCGCGGCUAGACGGAAAGACCCCGUGAACCUUUACUGCAGCUUGACACUGAACUUUGACCUUACUUGUGUAGGAUAGGUGGGAGGCUUUGAAGCUGGAACGCUAGUUCCAGUGGAGCCGUCCUUGAAAUACCACCCUGGUAAUGUUGAGGUUCUAACUCUGUCCCGUGAUCCGGGACGAGGACCGUGUCUGGUGGGUAGUUUGACUGGGGCGGUCUCCUCCUAAAGAGUAACGGAGGAGUACGAAGGUGCGCUCAGCGUGGUCGGAAAUCACGCGUAGAGUAUAAAGGCAAAAGCGCGCUUAACUGCGAGACCCACAAGUCGAGCAGGUACGAAAGUAGGUCUUAGUGAUCCGGUGGUUCUGUAUGGAAGGGCCAUCGCUCAACGGAUAAAAGGUACUCUGGGGAUAACAGGCUGAUACCGCCCAAGAGUUCAUAUCGACGGCGGUGUUUGGCACCUCGAUGUCGGCUCAUCUCAUCCUGGGGCUGAAGCAGGUCCCAAGGGUAUGGCUGUUCGCCAUUUAAAGAGGUACGCGAGCUGGGUUUAGAACGUCGUGAGACAGUUCGGUCCCUAUCUACCGUGGGCGCUGGAAAUUUGAGAGGAUCUGCUCCUAGUACGAGAGGACCAGAGUGGACGAACCUCUGGUGUACCGGUUGUGACGCCAGUCGCAUCGCCGGGUAGCUAUGUUCGGAAGGGAUAACCGCUGAAAGCAUCUAAGCGGGAAGCCUACCUCAAGAUAAGAUUUCCCUAGGACUUUAUGUCCUCUAAAGAGCCGUUCGAGACUAGGACGUUGAUAGGUUGGAUGUGGAAGCAUAGUGAUAUGUGAAGCUGACCAAUACUAAUUGCUCGUGAGGCUUGACUAUACAACACCCAAGCAGUUG
rnacentral:rRNA from 1 species